UUUUUGUUAAAUUAGUAAGUUGGGUUCAUUGUUUUUCUAACCUCACCGUAUUUGUUUUUUCCUUUUUUCGAUAUAUUACCUUUUUGCGUCUCACAUUCUCAACGCACACCUGUUUUUUUCUUCGGCAUAAUUAGCAGAGCAACAUCGCUUGGAAGCUAACAUGUCUGCUGGCGGCAGACGCCGUGCUGGCGACGCUCAGGAACAAAGCACCCAAGAUGAAAUUCGCCACAGCGGCUGCAUCUGAGUUUGGUUCAGGCAGGCCUUUAUGUGCUAGAUCGGAGAUCGCGAGAGAGCUGCAAUCAGGGAAGUGUCACGGAUGCAGGUGAUAUGUGCGUCCCCCACCGCCACCACCGUAACCGCCACCACCAAAGCAAAGGCCGCUUUUGAGUUCCUUUUGCCCCAGACAGACGGCUUCCACACUGCGAUAACACAGCUGACGAGAAAGUGGUGGUCCAAUCAACGGGGCACAGCCUGGUGGCCUUCCAGCUUCCGUAAUCAACCAUGGAUUCCCGCUGCUCACAUAGAUUGUCCGUUGAGUGAAGGCACAUAAGAUAAUGCUUUACUUAGUUCAACUCUUCCAUCAUUGUCUAAAAGAACAGUAAAACCGCA
ensembl:lncRNA